rnacentral:rRNA from 1 species
CCUACGGGUGGCAGCAGUGGGGAAUAUUGCACAAUGGGGGAAACCCUGAUGCAGCGACGCCGCGUGACGGAAGAAGUAUUUCGGUAUGUAAACUUCUAUCCGCAGGGAAGAAAAUGACGGUACCUCACUAAGCAGCCACGGCUAACUACGUGCCAGCAGCCGCGGUAAUACGUAGGGGGCAAGCGUUAUCCUGAUUUACUGGGUGUAAAGGGAGCGUAGGCGGCGAUGCAAGUCAGCAGUGACAGCCCGGGGCUCAACUCCGGUACUGCUUUUGAAACUGUAUGGCUAGAUUGCAGGAGAGGCAAGUGGAAUUCCUAGUGUAGCGGGGAAAUGCGUAGAUAUUAGGAGGAACACCAGUGGCGAAGGCGAUUUGCUGGACUGUAAAUGACGCUGAGGCUCGAAAGCGUGGGGAGCAAACAGGAUUAGAUACCCUUGUAGUC